rnacentral:rRNA from 1 species
CACGUAGUUAGCCGGGGCUUCUUAGUCAGGUACCGUCAUUUUCUUCCCUGCUGAUAGAGCUUUACAUACCGAAAUACUUCAUUGCUCACGCGGCGUCGCUGCAUCAGGGUUUCCCCCAUUGUGCAAUAUUCCCCACUGCUGCCUCCCGUAGGAGUCUGGGCCGUGUCUCAGUCCCAAUGUGGCCGUCCACCCUCUCAGGCCGGCUACUGAUCGUCGGCUUGGUGGGCCGUUACCCCACCAACUACCUAAUCAGACGCGGGUCCAUCUUACACCACCUCAGUUUUUACCACUGUACCAUGCAGUACUGUGGUCUUAUGCGGUAUUAGCAGUCAUUUCUAACUGUUAUCCCCCGUGUAAGGCAGGUUACCCACGCGUUACUCACCCGUCCGCCGCUCAGUCACAGGAAUCUUCAUCCGAAGAAUCGUAUUCUUGUGCUUCGCUCGACUUGCAUGUGUUAGGCACGCCGCCAGCGUUCAUCCUGACGCCAGGAUCAAACUCUAC